GCAAGACGUCGCUUCUGUCGUGAUCACGCAGCUGUGUGCUGUGACCAGACACUGCGACCCCUUCCAUGCUGCCCUUCACCGGGCCCUUCCCAUCUGGCACGAGUACCUCCUCCAGGCUCUGCUCUGGGCUUCAAGGAGGACACGUCUGCCUGUCCAGGGGUCCUCAUCGUUUGACAGAAUACAAAUUCGGCGCUCAGGUAACUUACUAUCUCUUCGGUCGGCUAAGUACACCCCAGGCUGUUUCUCAAGCAGUGUGCAUUUCGUGGUCAGGGUGGUCUUUGACGCUGACAGUCUCCGCAAGAGUGAAGGCAAUUAUGGCAGCUUAGCAUGGCCUGAUUUCACACCCAGGAGCCAGAAGUGAGGGCUCAGAGAAGAUAGAUGGUGGCAACAGAAGGCAGCUGAUGGUAAGAGGAACUGGUCACCAGGAAUGCCAACACCCCAGCAGGGGUGAGGUGGGGGCACUCUGGGUUGGAAGAACCCCUGAGCAAGGUGCCAUGACCACCACGCUGACUGACCCCUUCCCUCCAGCUGUGACAUAGAGAGAAACCAGGUGAUGCAUCUCAAGGCCUUGAGAACAAAGACUGGUGGCAAUGAAGACUGUGGAGACAGUUAGCAACAAAGCGGGAGAAGGUUCCAGCAAGUCACAUAUCCGAUGAGCAUUCUGAGAUCCAAAAUAUAUAAAAAGCUCCUGGCUACCCAAAAACUAAAGGCAAACAACCCACUUAAAAAUGAGCAAAGAACCUGGAAUACAUUUUUCAAAGGUCCAAACUGUCCACAUGGACACGAGAAGACGCUGGGCAGCAUGUUUCAUUACAGAAACGCAAGUCAAACCCACGGUGAGAUACCGCUGCUGUGAGAUGACCAGAAUCUCUGUCAAAGGAAAGUAACACAUGUUGGUAAGGAUGUGGAGAAAGUGGGGUGCUCAUAUGUGGCUGGGGAGCAUGCAGUGGAGCAGUUGUGUAGGAAACAUCUGGGAUGUGUGCCUGCAACCCCUCCACGGGCCACACGCUCCCAAGAACCCAACACAGGAACGUACACAGCAGCCAGCCAGUGUAGACAACACGGUCACACACCUACAUAAGGGCGCAGGGCAGGAGGACGGGGUGUCCCCGCUGCCCUGGGGGGGGUUACCUGAAGGUCACCUGGGGUCCCUCCAGGCGGUCACAGAUGGUGAAACCAGAAGUGGUGGUAAGUGCUGUAAGUGCCACUGAAGUGCACACUAAAAAUGGCUACACAUCCGGGACCUGUCCUCCACAAAGCCAUUCCCAUGCUGGACAAAAGAACACCCUUGCCCUAAGUGGGAACAACCCAGAGGGCAAAAGUCUUGGGCCUGCCAAGAUGACCUCAGAUGUGUCACCUGUGGAAUGUUCUGGAAGACAGACUUCUUCAUGACAAGCCUGUAAGGACAGAGGUGGCUGGAAGGUGCAUGGGAUGGGGAAGUGGGACUUAUGCAGGGACUUAAAGAAAGAUGUAAUAAAUUAUUUCUAAAGGCCACAGGCUGUUGUGUUCACUGAUUCGGGCACAGGAGAGGGCAGAGCUCCACCAGGCCUCCAGCCGCGAGAAAACAGAAACGGCUGUGGGGUCCCAGACGCACCCAGCUUUUGCGGACUGCUGUCCGGACACAUCCCAGGCCAUGGGGCCUGCCCACCCUGGGGCCAGAGCAAGGCUGCUUCAGGCCCAAUGGGCUGCGGCACCCGAGACAACCCAGAGAUCCCUGCCAAGCUCAAGUCGUUCAAACUCCCGAGUCAUCUCAACACUGUUCUUGGUCUGAGCAGGCAGCAGACCGGCCAGCUUGCAAGCGGGCUGCCCUGGGAGCCCCGCAAGGAGCCAGACCAGACUGACAUACACAGGAUGCGUUCUGAACUUUGUUGAAAUAGUGAAUAAAAGAACUUUCAGGAGACAGACCGACUCUGA